AUCGAUAGUGUUGCCUAUGGGAGGUAACCUAUGCAGGGUUCCAUUGCUUUGUUUCUUUGAUGCCAAUCUCUCUUAGGAGAGACGCCACUUCAACCAUCUACCUCAUGUUAAGGAAGAGGAGGCAAAAGAAGAGAAAGAGCCAAAAUACAGAUGUAUCUAAUCUGCUGGAGUACUUUUCAUCUAUACACUCAUGGGAUCUGAACUGACGGUGACUGACCAGGAAUGAGACCUUGGGGUCACAGUGGAUGGCUUGAUGAAGAUGUCGACCCAGUGUACAGCAGCUGUGAAAAAGGCAAAUUCCAUACUAGGGAUCCUAAGGAAAGAUGAAAUAUACAGCUUUCUAAAGUGGGGAUCAGAGAAUGUUUGGCGACUUGAUGCACAUCUGGACCUACUGAAAUCUGAAUUGACAGCUACAUUUUUCUGCAGAAGCCUGCCGCUCAAGAUAAGGGAAACAGAACUAUAGAAUGGACUCCCUCCAGCAGCUUUAGCACAUAACUUGGAUUCUCUUAUCUAUUGCCCAGGAUAACCUUCUUUUUGGACAUGCAAGCAAGUUGCAUAAAAAUCUGUCCACUCAUACUU